rnacentral:rRNA from 1 species
GACGAACGCUGGCGGCGUGCCUAAUACAUGCAAGUUGAGCGCUGAAGGUUGUUACUUGUACCAACUGGAUGAGCAGCGAACGGGUGAGUAACGCGUGGGGAAUCUGCCUUUGAGCGGGGGACAACAUUUGGAAACGAAUGCUAAUACCGCAUAAAAACUUUAAACUCAAGUUUUAAGUUUGAAAGAUGCAAUUGCAUCACUCAAAGAUGAUCCCGCGUUGUAUUAGCUAGUUGGUGAGGUAAAGGCUCACCAAGGCGAUGAUACAUAGCCGACCUGAGAGGGUGAUCGGCCACAUUGGGACUGAGACACGGCCCAAACUCCUACGGGAGGCAGCAGUAGGGAAUCUUCGGCAAUGGACGAAAGUCUGACCGAGCAACGCCGCGUGAGUGAAGAAGGGUUUCGGAUCGUAAAACUCUGUUGGUAGAGAAGAACGUUGGUGAGAGUGGAAAGCUCAUCAAGUGACGGUAACUACCCAGAAAGGGACGGCUAACUACGUG